GGGUGCCGUCCCAGCUCCUCCUCCGCCCACUCCACUGUCUCUCUUUCGCCUGUGCAGUGGUUCCUGGCAAAACCUCUUAUGCCACCUCCCGACCAUCCCGGGAAGAUUUGGCGGCUGGAGCCCUGCGCAGGAGCUGUAGCUCUGGGCUGCGGAUUUUACCGCCCCUGCACAGAAGCCUGCAGCGUGGAGGCUCCCCUCGCGCUCGCCCAGACUCGGCUGCAGAAGGAGGACCCACCUCGCGUCUCCCCCGAGGCGCGCACCUCUGUCGCCACCCUCCACGCGCCUAGGAAGUUUUGAAGGUAGAGAAUCUGGGCCCCUCAACUUCCUCUGGACAUGAAUCAAACCGCAGGAGUCUCCAAUAGCGUCAGGUAUCCCCCGGGGAAAGGCCACAAGUGACAUGUGGCUUCUUUGCAAUACAAAUGUGAUGACAACAGGAUUUUAAAGCAGCAAAUUGGUUAAAACUGGGAGACAUUAGCAAAUCACCACCCAUGAUGUCCACCAGCCUUGGAAGGGCCAAUUUCAUCAUCCGCUAUGUCUUCGACAACCAACCAAUCUUUUUUCCUCCACCUUGGUUUUCCAUUGGUAUAAUGUCAACAUUCUGUUAAUGUGUCCUUGGGAUCUAUCAACUUUACGAUUUCUUAACUAGCUUCUCUCUACAAAUAUGUUUAUAUACUCUAC
rnacentral:lncRNA from 1 species